rnacentral:tRNA from 1 species
GGAGGAUUCGCAUAGCGGCCUAGUGCGCACGAUUGGAAAUCGUGUUGGGCUAAACACCCUCAGGGGUUCAAAUCCCUAUCCUCCGCCA